rnacentral:rRNA from 2 species
GAUCCUGGGUCAGGAAGUCGUAAGAGGUACCCGCCUGGUUUACUGGGAUAACUCCGGGAAACCGGGGCUAAUACCGGAUGCUUGAUUGAACCGCAUGGUUCAAUUAUAAAAGGUGGCUUUUAGCUACCACUUACAGAUGGACCCGCGGCGCAUUAGCUAGUUGGUGAGGUAACGGCUCACCAAGGCGACGAUGCGUAGCCGACCUGAGAGGGUGAUCGGCCACACUGGGACUGAAACACGGCCCAGACUCCUACGGGAGGCAGCCAGUAGGGAAUCUUCCGCAAUGGACGAAAAGUCUGACNGGAGCAACGCCGNCGUGAGUGAUGAAGGUUUUCGGAUCGUAAAACUCUGUUGUUAGGGAAGAACAAGUACCGUUCGAAUAGGGCGGUACCUUGACGGUACCUAACCAGAAAGCCACGGCUAACUACGUGCCAGCAGCCGCGGUAAUACGUAGGUGGCAAGCGUUGUCCGGAAUUAUUGGGCGUAAAGCGCGCGCAGGCGGUUUCUUAAGUCUGAUGUGAAAGCCCCCGGCUCAACCGGGGAGGGUCAUUGGAAACUGGGGAACUUGAGUGCAGAAGAGGAGAGUGGAAUUCCACGUGUAGCGGUGAAAUGCGUAGAGAUGUGGAGGAACACCAGUGGCGAAGGCGACUCUCUGGUCUGUAACUGACGCUGAGGCGCGAAAGCGUGGGGAGCGAACAGGAUUAGAUACCCUGGUAGUCCACGCCGUAAACGAUGAGUGCUAAGUGUUAGAGGGUUUCCGCCCUUUAGUGCUGCAGCAAACGCAUUAAGCACUCCGCCUGGGGAGUACGGUCGCAAGACUGAAACUCAAAGGAAUUGACGGGGGCCCGCACAAGCGGUGGAGCAUGUGGUUUAAUUCGAAGCAACGCGAAGAACCUUACCAGGUCUUGACAUCCUCUGACAACCCUAGAGAUAGGGCUUCCCCUUCGGGGGCAGAGUGACAGGUGGUGCAUGGUUGUCGUCAGCUCGUGUCGUGAGAUGUUGGGUUAAGUCCCGCAACGAGCGCAACCCUUGAUCUUAGUUGCCAGCAUUCAGUUGGGCACUCUAAGGUGACUGCCGGUGACAAACCGGAGGAAGGUGGGGAUGACGUCAAAUCAUCAUGCCCCUUAUGACCUGGGCUACACACGUGCUACAAUGGGCAGAACAAAGGGCAGCGAAGCCGCGAGGCUAAGCCAAUCCCACAAAUCUGUUCUCAGUUCGGAUCGCAGUCUGCAACUCGACUGCGUGAAGCGGGAAUCG